GACGAACGCUGGCGGCGUGCUUAACACAUGCAAGUCGAACGGAUUGCUUGGUGCUUGCACUGAGUGGUUAGUGGCGAACGGGUGAGUAACACGUGAGUAACCUGCCCCCUUCUUUGGGAUAAGCACCUGAAAGGGUGUCUAAUACUGAUUAUUCUGCUGGAAUCGCAUGGUUUUGGUUGGAAAGGUUUUUCUGGUGGGGGAUGGGCUCGCGGCUUAUCAGCUUGUUGGUGGGGUAAUGGCUUACCAAGGCUUUGACGGGUAACCGGCCUGAGAGGGUGACCGGUCACAUUGGGACUGAGAUACGGCCCAGACUCCUACGGGAGGCAGCAGUGGGGAAUAUUGCACAAUGGACGAGAGUCUGAUGCAGCGACGCCGCGUGAGGGAUGAAGGCCUUCGGGUUGUAAACCUUUUUCGCUUUUGACCAAGGCAGCAUUUUGGUGUUGUUGAGGGUAUGAGGUAAAGAAGCUCCGGCUAACUACGUGCCAGCCGCCGCCGUAA
rnacentral:rRNA from 1 species